GGUUCAAGGUCCCUCUAUCCCAA
rnacentral:tRNA from 1 species